ensembl:miRNA Mir3066 microRNA 3066
GUGUGGUAUGAUUUGGUUGCUGUAGAUUAAGUAGUUUAAUAUGAUGCUGCACUUAAUAGACUGCAACCUGCACUGGCCAUGCU